rnacentral:rRNA from 1 species
UACGGAGGGUGCAAGCGUUAAUCGGAAUUACUGGGCGUAAAGCGUGCGCAGGCGGUCGGCCAAGUCGAGUGUGAAAGCCCCCGGCUCAACUGGGGAGGGUCAUUCGAUACUGGUCGACUCGAAGGCAGGAGAGGGAAGCGGAAUUCCCGGUGUAGUGGUGAAAUGCGUAGAUAUCGGGAGGAACACCAGUGGCGAAGGCGGCUUCCUGGCCCGUUCUUGACGCUGAGGCGCGAAAGCUAGGGGAGCAAACGGG